GAUGAACGCUGGCGGCGUGCCUAAUACAUGCAAGUCGAGCGAACAGACGAGGAGCUUGCUCCUCUGACGUUAGCGGCGGACGGGUGAGUAACACGUGGAUAACCUACCUAUAAGACUGGGAUAACUUCGGGAAACCGGAGCUAAUACCGGAUAAUAUAUUGAACCGCAUGGUUCAAUAGUGAAAGACGGGUUUGCUGUCACUUAUAGAUGGAUCCGCGCCGCAUUAGCUAGUUGGUAAGGUAACGGCUUACCAAGGCAACGAUGCGUAGCCGACCUGAGAGGGUGAUCGGCCACACUGGAACUGAGACACGGUCCAGACUCCUACGGGAGGCAGCAGUAGGGAAUCUUCCGCAAUGGGCGAAAGCUUGACGGAGCAACGCCGCGUGAGUGAUGAAGGUCCUCGGAUCGUAAAACUCUGUUAUUAGGGAAGAACAAAUGUGUAAGUAACUAUGCACGUCUUGACGGUACCUAAUCAGAAAGCCACGGCUAACUACGUG
rnacentral:rRNA from 1 species